rnacentral:rRNA from 1 species
CCUACGGGCGGCAGCAGUGGGGAAUAUUGGACAAUGGGGGGAACCCUGAUCCAGCCAUGCCGCGUGUGUGAAGAAGGCCCUCGGGUUGUAAAGCACUUUCAGUGAGGAAGAACGCCUGGUGGUUAAUACCCAUCAGGAAAGACAACACUCACAGAAGAAGCACCGGCUAACUCCGUGCCAGCAGCCGCGGAAUACGGAGGGUGCGAGCGUUACUCGGAAUUACUGGGCGUAAAGCGCGCGUAGGUGGCUUGAUAAGCCGGUUGUGAAAGCCCCGGGCUCAACCUGGGAACGGCAUCCGGAACUGUCAAGCUAGAGUGCAGGAGAGGAAGGUAGAAUUCCCGGUGUAGCGGUGAAAUGCGUAGAGAUCGGGAGGAAUACCAGUGGCGAAGGCGGCCUUCUGGACUGACACUGACACUGAGGUGCGAAAGCGUGGGUAGCAAACAGGAUUAGAUACCCCUGUAGUC